rnacentral:lncRNA from 1 species
AACAAAAUGCUAGUUGGGAAAAAAAUCAGGAAAAAAGCAUAUCGCUAUUUGAGAACCCAUGUAUUUUUAAAGGCUUAAGAUGUUAUAACCACAGGAUAUCCAGCCAAAUUCAACAUUAACUGAAAAUCUUCGAGAUUUAAAUGUUCAUUUAAUUCAGAGCCAAAUAUGCACUAGAACAAUCUAGGAGGGUCUCCUUCCUCUUUAUUUUCAGCAACUGAACUUCCAAGAAUGGGUAAGAUUAGAUAAUCACAAUAAAGUCUCAGUCUGAAUGUUUAGCAAGAGGAAGAGGCAGGAGAGGAGCCAAAAUCUAGUAAAUCAAAUAUUCUAAUACCUAAAGUUCAUUUUUUUAAUCCAAAAGCUUUCAUGGCAACACAUUACUCACGACAGUGUAUAUCUUAGGCAAAAUUUCAGAUACAAUAACUUGCCUAAAAUUUGCAAGGCUUAAUAUAGGCUUUGAAAUAAUUAUUUUAAUAUUCAAAGAAUGUUUUAUUAUAGUCCUUUGGCCUUACUAAUUAUAACAAUAACUCAUAAGACCCAAAAGAAUAAGGAAUUUCUCUCCUUUAUCAAGGUCAUGUAACUGAUUCUAGAGGUGAUAAGUCUGCGUUCCAGAAACACUGGAGUUAUUGGUGGUUUC